UCAAAUGACAACUAAAAAACAAAUAAAGUAAAUGGGAGAAAUUACUUAAAUUUAAAAGUAAAGUAAAUUAUUUAACAAGGCACUCCAAUAUACAGAGGAAGAGCGUCAGAUACGUAAACAAAUAUUAGCACAUUACUCAAAGGUAAUGCUGCUUGUAAAUCCUACCAAAGCUGUUACUGUACCAUAUACAAUUUGGAAUAUCAUGACAUCACGCGGCUUAUUGCUUAUUGCUUACAGCUGAUUAGGUCUAUUAAAUUAUGCUAUAUGGAGUCAAUGUCGUCACUAAAAUACUAGACCUGUCGGAUUCUGUAUCUGAUGUUUUUUUUCGCAUUUCAUACGAAUUACUAGUGCGAUGGAUGUUAAAAAACUCAUUGAUGAAAUCGAAAUUUAUUUGACAAAAUGUAUGCGAUAAAAAGAAGGAAAUUAUUUUUAAUCCAUUUAAAUGUGGGCUUAAAAUUUCGAAUUUAGAUAAAAAAAAGACUUAAAUAGAAAGUAUUAUUAACGGGAAGUUUAACCAAAUAUGCACCUAUCCAAGAAGAAAUGUUUAUGCAAGGCGAAUAUAUGUUACAACCUCUCUAAUGACAAAUGAAGAGUGAUUGUGAAAAUAAAAAAGAACAAUUUAAUUUACAAAGGAAAAAUGUACCUAUAUUUGUAUUUUAAAAUUUAUAUACAAUAUAAGAAUAUUUAUGUCCCAUUUAGAUAUAACUGAACGACAUUACUGAGGAUAUUUUCUUAAUAAAAUAGAAUACUAGAACAAGGAAAGUCACCAAUGUUGCAAAUUUUAUU